GAUGAACGCUGGCGGCGUGCUUAACACAUGCAAGUCGAACGGAAAGGCCCUGCUUUUGUGGGGUGCUCGAGUGGCGAACGGGUGAGUAACACGUGAGUAACCUGCCCUUGACUUUGGGAUAACUUCAGGAAACUGGGGCUAAUACCGGAUAGGAGCUCCUGCUGCAUGGUGGGGGUUGGAAAGUUUCGGCGGUUGGGGAUGGACUCGCGGCUUAUCAGCUUGUUGGUGGGGUAGUGGCUUACCAAGGCUUUGACGGGUAGCCGGCCUGAGAGGGUGACCGGCCACAUUGGGACUGAGGUACGGCCCAGACGCCUACGGGAGGCAGCAGUGGGGAAUAUUGCACAAUGGGCGGAAGCCUGAUGCAGCAACGCCGCGUGCGGGAUGACGGCCUUCGGGUUGUAAACCGCUUUCGCCUGUGACGAAGCGUGAGUGACGGUAAUGGGUAAAGAAGCACCGGCUAACUACGUG
rnacentral:rRNA from 1 species